AUCUAAUUUCAUCCAAGUGCAGCUCCAGAGAGAGCUGGGCUGACGCACAAACAGUCAAUAUAACAACAUUCUUCUUGAAGAGCUGAACAAUAGGGCUUUGGUGGGACUGUGAUUAACAACGUCAAACUAAGAACAAACAGAAGGUGUAAAAAUAGGCAUCUGAGGAGUCGACACAACGGACUAUUUUUCAUCUGUAAGGCCAGAGGAGAAUAGCUUGUUAAAUUGUAUGCUCGGAGCACUUCAUCAGAUGUGUGGGGAAGGACAAAAAAAAAAAAAAAAAGAAAGAAAAGAAUCCUAUUUCCCAUCUGGGUCUGAAUGUACUAAGGAACUGCACAUGCCUUAUUAAUAUAAAUCAUGCUAGGAGCAUAAUUCCCAUUAGCAUUAAAGAACCAUUUUUCAAUGAAAUACUCCUGCACCAGGAACACCUAACGGGAAAUAAUGGUGUUUGCUUCAUUUGAAGAGAAUAGUAAAACACAGUGUAGAGACCGAGAAGGUGGAGAGCUGUUUCUUCUCUCCAACACUACGGGUUUGGGGGUUUUUACAGCCACCCUAAGCCCUCCCCUUCCCACUCCAGCAGGGCCGUAUCCAGAUGUGGUGCAGAGAAGGGGCUGCCCAGCCCAUGGAGGUGGCAGGGAGCGGGGCUGGGCUGCUCGGCUGUGUUGGGGCAGUGCUACAGCCCUGGGCACAGCCUUGCUGCCUUAUUCCCAUGCUGCCAUGGGUGUGCAAGGGAUGGUGCCCGAAGCAUUAAAGCGCAGAAGCAUUAGGGGUAGGUGAAACCGCUGCAUAGCUCAUUAGCCCUGGUGCCUUGCCGGCUUUUCCCAGGGCUGUGGCUCUUGGCUGUCGCAGCGCGUGGGGCCAGCGCUCUCACCCCAGGGUUUGCGUGGGCGCACGCUGGCUCCCCAGCCCCAGCGUCACCUUGGAGGGAUUAAUUCCCUUUCCUCGGCUAAGCGCCACAGCUCAGUCCGAGGUCUCAGCGAAAGGAAGCACUAGCCUUGAAACGCUAGACAAAAUUUCCACCUCUGGUUAAGCAGUUGCAGGAUGAGCGAGUGCCUUGAGAAGCCAGCUGAGACAUGAGACAGCAAAACAAGAAGAGGACAGUGACCGUAGGCGCCGAAGAUAACAAACCUUUGGAAUUCACCACUGCAGGACAAAUAGCCAAAACCCCGUGGCAACGUUUUCGUGCAGGAAUAAAAGCAAAGUACACUUUAUGACUGCUACAGUGUUUUGGCUAAGAUAAGGCUAACCAGACCACAGGCAUCGAGUUAUAAAAUGAUGUGUUAGAGGUAUCAGUAGGAAAUGACUUCCCUCGUGUGCUGCCAUGCUCCAUCGACCGUGCCUGCUCCGGUUUUGUUUCCAUUUGCUGAAUGUGCAGAGCAAGGGCUCUUUCUGCAGGCAGCAUCCCAGGGCUAUGGCAGUGCCUGCCAUGGGAAAGAAAGCAUCUCCCUUGGGCCAAAGGAUUAAAUUGGGAUUUUUGUUAUUAUUUUUUUAAGGGUUGUGAUGGCUUUGUUCUGCUGGGAUUUUAUAUAUGCUCCUAAUAAAGAAUGAACUGGUUUUAAGCUCA